UAAUAAAUAGGUAAUAAUUUUGUCUUCUAGUCAGAAGCAAACAGGAUUUUGCAGACUAGUAAUCAAUUCCGAAGAUCAAGGAUGAGUGCAAUGUUUCAUAUAACAAAUCAAACAGAGUUGCAACCUGCAUAAUUUCCAUUUCUGAUGCAGACAAAGCUGUUGUCUGGCAGAAGUCAUACAAAGAUAACAGAAUACAAGCUCUGACCUACAGAUUUUUCACAUCUAAGGAUGGCUAAGGUAUUGUCUGUGGGGAGGGGGAAAUAGAUUUCCCAUGGCCUUAGAGUUCUCUCCCCCCACCACCCUUUAAAUUCUUUUGACAAGUUUAGUGGAGGAACACAGUAAUGGCUUUCCUGGAAAUGCUGAAGACC